UCUCAGUUCGGAUUGGAGGCUGAAACCCGCCUCCAUGAAGUUGGAUUCGCUAGUAAUCGCGCAUCAGCCAUGGCGCGGUGAAUACGUUCCCGGGCCUUGUACACACCGCCCGUCAAGCCAUGGAAGCUGGGGGUGCCUGAAGUUCGUGACCGGAAGGAGCGACCUAGGGCAAAACCGGUGACUGGGGCUAAGUCGUAACAAGGUAUC
rnacentral:rRNA from 1 species